rnacentral:lncRNA from 8 species
AUGUUCUGGAGGCAGCUCUGUAGAGUGGUGUUCUGGAGGCAGGUUUGUAGAGUGGUGUUCUGGAGGCAGCUUUGUAGAGUGGUGUUCUGGAGGCAGGUUUGUAGAGUGGUGUUCUGGAGGCAGCUCUGUAGAGUGGUGUUCUCGAGGCAGUUCUACGGAGUGGUGUUCUGGAGGCAGCUCUGUAGAGUGGUGUUCUGGAGGCAGCUUUGUAGAGUGAUGUUCAGGAGGCAGCUUUGUAGAGUGGUGUUCUGGAGGCAGCUCUGUAGAGUGAUGUUCUGGAGGCAUCUCUGUAGAGUGGUGUUCUCGAGGCAGCUCUGUAGAGUGGUGUUCUCGAGGCAGUUCUACGGAGUGAUGUUCUGGAGGCAGCUUUGUAGAGUGGUGUUCUGGAGGCAGCUUUGUAGAGUGGUGUUCUGGAGGCAGCUCUGUAGAGUGGUGUUCUGGAGGCAGCUCUGUAGAGUGGUGUUCUCGAGGCAGUUCUACGGAGUGGUGUUCUGGAGGCAGCUCUGUAGAGUGGUGUUCUCGAGGCAGUUCUAUGGAGUGGUGUUCUGGAGGCAGCUCUGUAGAGUGGUGUUCUGGAGGCAGCUCUGUAGAGUGGUGUUCUGGAGGCAGCUUUGUAGAGUGGUGUUCUGGAGGCAGCUUUGUAGAGUGGUGUUCUGGAGGCAGCUCUGUAGAGUGAUGUUCUGGAGGCAGGUUUGUAGAGUGGUGUUCUGGAGGCAGCUUUGCAGAGUGAUGUUCUGGAGGCAGCUUUGCAGAGUGGUGUUCUGGAGGCAGCUCUGUAGAGUGGUGUUCUGGAGGCAGCUCUGUAGAGUGGUGUUCUGGAGGCAGCUCUGUAGAGUGGUGUUCUGGAGGCAGCUUUGUAGAGUGAUGUUCUGGAGGCAGCUUUGUAGAGUGAUGUUCUGGAGGCAGCUCUGUAGAGUGGUGUUCUGGAGGCAGCUUUGUAGAGUGAUGUUCUGGAGGCAGCUCUGUAGAGUGGUGUUCUGGAGGCAGCUUUGUAGAGUGGUGUUCUGGAGGCAGCUUUGUAGAGUGAUGUUCUGGAGGCAGCUCUGUAGAGUGAUGUUCUGGAGGCAGCUUUGUAGAGUGAUGUUCUGGAGGCAGCUCUGUAGAGUGAUGUUCUGGAGGCAGCUUUGCAGAGUGGUGGUCACUGUAGCUGGCACAGCCACGAAGUAA